AUGCAUUGGGUAUCUUGAAAGGAGUUGGCUACACCCAAGUGCAAUGGGGGUAUGGGCUUCAGAGACCUGCAACAAUUUAAUCUUGCAAUGUUGGGUAAACGUGGAUGGCGGUUCUUGACAAACCCAAAUCCCCUAUGUGCAAGAGUUUUAAAGGGUCGCUAUUUCCCAUAUACCGAGUUCAUGCAAGCAACAUCACCCAAGUCGGCCUCGGCUACAUGGAGGGCCAUCAUAGCGGGAAGAGAGGCCUUUAAUAUUUGUUUGAUCUCACGGGUAGGAGAUGGCUCCACCAUUUCAGUGUGGACUGAUAAAUGGAUCCCAGGCACUAUCUCUAUGACUCCAACCUCGAGGUCAUCAAACACAAAUGUGGAGAAGGUGUUAGAUUUGAUAGAUACAGAUAAUUGGACGCGGCGACAAGAUUUGAUUCAGGAUACUUUCGUGCCUCGGAUGUCGCUACCAUUAUAA
rnacentral:rRNA from 1 species